CUCGUUAUUGUUGUUGUUGUCGUUGUUGUUGUCGUUGUCGUUGUCGUUGUUGUCGUUGUUGUUGUUGUCGUUGUCGUUGUUGUCGUUGUCGUUGUCGUCGUUGUUGUUGUUGUUGUUGUUGUCGUCGUUGUUGUUGUUGUUGUUGUUGCUGUUGUUGNUGUUGUUGUUGUUGUUGAUGAUGUUGUUAUUGUUGUUGCUGCUGUUGUUGUUGUUCUUGUUCUUGUUGUUGUUCUUGUUGAUGUUGUUGUUGUUGAUGUUGUUGUUGUUGUUGCUGUUGUUGUU
rnacentral:lncRNA from 1 species